AUUGAACGCUGGCGGCAGGCCUAACACAUGCAAGUCGAACGAGUGGCGGACGGGUGAGUAAUGUCUGGGAAACUGCCCGAUGGAGGGGGAUAACUACUGGAAACGGUAGCUAAUACCGCAUACCAUCGGAUGUGCCCAGAUGGGAUUAGCUAGUAGGUGGGGUAACGGCUCACCUAGGCGACGCUCCCUAGCUGGUCCGAGAGGAUGACCAGCAACACUGUAACGGAGACACGGUCCAGACUCCUACGGGAGGCAGCAGUGGGGAAUAUUGCACAAUGGGCGCAAUCCUAAUGCAUCCAUGCCGCGUGUAUGAAGAGUGCCUUCGGGUUGUAAAGUACUUUCAUCGAGGAGGCGUUACUCGCAGAAUAAGCACCGGCUAACUCCGUGCCAGCAGCCGCGGUAGUUC
rnacentral:rRNA from 1 species